GGGAAAACCUGUCCAUGCCUGAAGCAGCUUGACCCCAGCAAACACCCUGCCUCCAUGGAGUGAACUGCAAAUCUCAAAAAAAAAAAAAAAAAUCUACUUCCUACCCCUCCUGCUCCCUGGGGAGGGACAGAAGGUUCCUAAAACUGACAGUUUCGCCUCCAUGAUCUUUAAAAGAGCAGAAGUUGGCUGUGAGGCUGCAGUGCUGCCUCGAUUGGGGUAGUGUGGUCUCUGUUGCGGCUGGGCUCCAAAGAGAGCCACAAUUGGCUCUGAUGAGGAAGGAGCCUAGAAAUGAAAGAUUGCAAAGAGGGCUUCUGUACGCCAUGGCUGAGACUGUGUCGUUUCUUGCAAGGUGAAACUUGGCAGUUCUACCUUGCAAGUAAAAACCUAAAUUAAUUUUUUUUAAGAGAAAUUAAGUCAGAAACAAGGCUUCGGAAAAACUGUGAGUGUUAGGCAUAAACUGAUUUUGGAUGAUCUUUAGGUGAGAAAGGGUGGAGUUACCAUCAGAAACAUGUUUUUAUUUAUGCUUUUCGAAUCCCCACUGGUGUGCGAUGUGUGUGUGCGUGCGCGUGCAUGUGCGUGUGUAUUGGUUAGCAUGAGAGUAUGCAUCAUCUCAAUUCUCUAACCAGUCUUUCUUUUUUGCAUCUUUUCUAUGCACAGUUCAUAUAGAUCCCCUAUAAAUAAAUAUAUAGGUCCAUCCACACCUUUUCAUUUUAUUUGUAAAUUGUUUGGUAUAAGCGGCAGAGCGUAAUGAAACCUGGUGAAGUUUAAAAGAUUAGAUUUUUUUUUUAUACUGACACUUCAUAACACUGUUCAUAUGUCUCCGAGUGAGAUUUAUGAAUAUAUGAGCAGUACUGCAAAAUUAUACUGCACCAGAGACUUCCUGCACCACAGGGGUGGCAGUCUAAAGUGACACAGCUUCAAGCAUUUUUCACAGACAAGAAGCAAAAUUUAACCCCCUUAAGGGGAAGUAUGAUUUCAACAGCUUGAAAUGAGCUCAUUUGUAGAUGGUUUUUUUUUCUCUCAUCUUCCAUAAUUUUUUGGUGUUAAGAUUAAAACAGAUUGCACAGCCAAUGUAAGGGCACAUAAGCUGCCCAGAGUACAGUUUGGCCCUUAAAGAGAAAUCUUCAUUCAUUGUCUUUAUCAGCACUCCUCAAUCAGGUAAAUGAAGAUAAACUUGCCCCUAAAUUCCUAAGGCUCUCAGCCCAAUUUCCAGUAUCGUACUUAGCAGAGAGGGUGUGGAAUUUUCAAACAGUAAGUGGCAAGGAACAUCAAUUAAUCCAGUGGAGAAGCCCUCAUCUCUCUGGAACCAAAGACAAUGACAUUAGGAAAUAAUUAGUGUAUUGAAUAUAAAUGGUGUAAAAUUGACCAAUAAAAAAGAGAAUCAGAAGUGCAAAAGAUGGUCUCUAUGAAUUGAAACAUAGGAAAUGUCUGUCGUGGAAGAGUUCAAUUAGAUUCAGGGUCCUAACUGGUCUGUCUUAGAUUGGUCCAGUAUCCAGUACCUUGUAAUUUUGUAUAAACUAACGUUCAUUAAUCUCUAUGCUCUCAAAUUCUCUUUAACCAUUUUGUUUCCUCCUGGAACAGAGUGGGGUACUCAAACAUUGCCUGCUCUCUCUCUGCCCUAUAAAUGCUCCAUGAUGUGUUGGCUGGAGAACUUUUGUCUCUUUUUUCAGCAAUGGUACAACAGCUCCAUGAACGUGAUCUGCACCUGGUUGACGGACCGGAUGGACUUACAGCUUCACAUUUAUCAGUUGAAAACACUAAUUAGGAUGGUAAAGAAAACCUACAGAGAUUUCCGAUUGCAAGGGGUCCUAGACUCCACCUUAAACAGCAAGACCUAUGAAACGAUCCGGAACCGUCUCACUGUGGAGGAAGCCACAGCAUCAGUGAGUGAAGGUGGGGGACUGCAGGGCAUCAGCAUGAAGGACAGCGAUGAGGAAGACGAAGAAGACGAUUAGACCGUUUGGUCCUAGAGUCCGCUGGGACAGAGUCCUGUAAUCAGUGCAUGUCCUUAGUCUGUUAGUUAAACCCAUUAGGGAAUUUUCUGUCAACUACCAUGCCCAUGAGAUGUUUAUCAAUACAACUGCCAUUUUAGCUAUGUGGUACCAAGAUUAGCAAAUGACCUUCAUAUCCACUGAUUUCCUGAUGUCCAUGUCUAUAUGUUUACAAGCAAUAUGGAGCACCAUUCUUUAAAUACUGUUCAUGGAGAAUACAUAGUCUAACCACUAGGCGUGUCCCUGUUAUCAGCAAAGAUCAGUGAUGCUUCAUUCAUGUACUAUGUAUGCAUUGGUGGUAAAUGGAUGUGAGGGCAAGUACACCAAGCACAUUCACUUUGUUUCACGUAUGUGGAUGCCAGUUAAUUAAAUGAGUACAUAAAUAAAUUAAUUAAAACACAUAGAUCUGCUUUGUGUUUUUAUUUUUAUUUUUUGAAAAACAAAAGGCAAGUCUCCAACAAUCAACUUUUGAUUCUUUCUGAUUCUUUCCCCUAAAACUAAAAAAUGAACCCCUUGUGUCCUUGUUAACCCAUCCUUUCAUUUACUUAUAUAAUUAGCCAAAAAAAGGAUGGCUACAUACCAAUGGAUUGAUUCUCUUAAUUGCCACGGCAAGGGGGCAAUCCUAUCAUGACUUAACAUCAAGCGCACAGUUCAAAACUACUGUCUUCUGUCAAAGUUUUCUCCUCUUAAAUGUUAUUUUGCUUUUACGUCUCAACUGUGUAUGUAAAAAAAACGAAUAUUUAAAUUACAACCCUAGACUAAAAAUGUGUUUAUAAUAAGAUGUGGAUAUUUCCUUCAGUAGAUUGUAACCAUAAUUUAAAUUAUUUUGUUCCACACUGUUUUUUAUAUCUGUCAUGUACAUUGCAUUUUGAUCUGUAACUGCACAACCCUGGGGUUUGCUGCAGAGCUAUUUCUUUCCAUGUAAAGUAGUGGAUCCAUCUUGCUUUUGCCUUAUAUAAAGCCUACAGUUAUGGAAGUGUGGAAAACUGUGGCUUCUCAAUAAAUAUUCAAAUGUCCUAAGAAUA
rnacentral:sRNA from 1 species